rnacentral:rRNA from 1 species
GAUGAACGCUGACAGAAUGCUUAACACAUGCAAGUCAACUUGAAUUUGGGUUUUUAACUUAGGUUUGGGUGGCGGACGGGUGAGUAACGCGUAAAGAACUUGCCUCACAGCUAGGGACAACAUUUGGAAACGAAUGCUAAUACCUAAUAUUAUGAUAAUAGGGCAUCCUAUAAUUAUGAAAGCUAUAAGCGCUGUGAGAGAGCUUUGCGUCCCAUUAGCUAGUUGGAGAGGUAACGGCUCACCAAGGCGAUGAUGGGUAGCCGGCCUGAGAGGGUGAUCGGCCACAAGGGGACUGAGACACGGCCCUUACGCCUACGGGAGGCAGCAGUGGGGAAUAUUGGACGAUGGACCGAGAGUCUGAUCCAGCAAUUCUGUGUGCACGAUGAAGUUUUUCGGAAUGUAAAGUGCUUUCAGUUGGGAAGAAACAAAUGACGGUACCAACAGAAGAAGUGACGGCUAAAUACGUG